rnacentral:rRNA from 1 species
GUCCACGCCUAACGAUGUCAACUGGUUGUUGGGAAUUCACUUUCUCAGUAACGAAGCUAACGCGUGAAGUUGACCGCCUGGGGAGUACGGCCGCAAGGUUGAACUCAAGGAAUUGACGGGACCCGCACAAGCGGUGGAUGAUGUGGUUUAAUUCGAUGCAACGCGAAACCUUACCCACCUUUGACAUGUACGGAAUCCUUUAGAGAUAGAGGAGUGCUCGAAAGAGAACCGUAACACAGGUGCUGCAUGGCUGUCGU